CAGAAAUGGAAUAUAAUUUCGAAGCGUAAUAACAAAGCGAAGAGAAGCAAGAGAGAGAUUUUUCGAGCAAAGAAAAAAAAAAUAUGAGUGGAGGAUUAUCACAAGACUGGGAGCCGGUGGUGAUCCGGAAGAAGGCACCGACCGCCGCCGCACGCAAGGAUGAGAAAGCUGUCAACGCUGCCCGUCGCUCCGGUGCUGAGAUCGAAACUAUCAGAAAAUCAACUGCUGGCUCAAACAGGGCUGCCUCUAGUAGUACGACCUUGAACACCAGGAAACUUGAUGAAGAUACUGAGAAUCUGGCUCAUCAAAAAGUACCGACUGAGCUGAAGAAAGCCAUCAUGCAAGCUCGACAAGAUAAGAAGCUGACUCAGUCUCAACUUGCUCAGCUGAUAAAUGAGAAGCCUCAAAUCAUCCAGGAGUACGAGUCAGGAAAGGCAAUUCCAAAUCAACAAAUCAUCUCUAAACUGGAGAGAGCUCUUGGUGCCAAACUUAGAGGAAAGAAAUGAAGAGCCUCUUGGCUUCUCAAAUCUCUAUUCCAGUUCUAACUGUAGUUAUGUACAUGGACAACUUUUUCUGUUAGCCCUCUUUCUAUAGCCACUAUGGGUGCUUGUGCCUUUGUAUGGAUCGAUGGUUCUGGAUUUCUUGGCUACAUGGGUGUUAUUUCUGUGGAAAAAUAAGACGUUUAUGCUUGUGCAAGGGAUGUUAUCUUGUGCUUCCCGUUUUCUUGAGAAAAAAGUUCUCAGUCUCUUGAAGCAUGACAUCCCCGUCAUUCUUCAGAUCAGCACUUGAGAUAUAAUGGAAGACAUAAUUGGCAUAUGGGAAUAUGUCAAGUAUAUCCAUUUGCUUUGUGGAAUAUAAUUUGAU
rnacentral:misc_RNA from 1 species